rnacentral:rRNA from 1 species
CGAGUCAGCGGCAUGUCGCGAGGUUAACCCGUGUGGGGUAGCCGUAGGGAAACCGAAUCCUAAUGGGGUGUUGAGUGGCAUGUCCUGGACCCGAAGCGGGGUGAUCUACCCAUGGCCAGUGUGAAGCAGUAGUAAGAUGCUGUGGAGGCGCGAACCCACGUAGGUUGAAAACUGCGGGGAUGAGUUGUGGGUAGGGGUGAAAGGCCAAUCAAACUCC